UUCCCCCUUGGCAUCUCAGGGCACUUUGCAGCUCUGAUGAAAGCAAACCAUGCUCUGCUGCCGCCUCUGAAGGGCUGCUCCUGCUUUCCAGAUGGGAGGUAGAGGCACGGAGACAUGAAAUGACUUGGCUGGGUCACAUGGGAUCCCAGGGAGAGCCAGGAAAGGAACGCAGGUCUUCUCAGUCUUGGCAUGGGGAAGGAACUCUGUUUCUUAUAAACAAAAUAAUUCACAUACCUGACACGAAAGGAUGUAUCACGGUGAUGAAUGUAUUUGUGCAUUUAUGUGCAUGCAGAUAAUACAUAUAUAAUACUUGUGAGAUAUAUAAUACUGGAUGUGUAACACAUUCAGUCUUGGCCAGAAAGAGCUAUUGUAGUGCUGGCUGAACAAAUUUAUGCAAAUCACUAGUGAAAUUAAUAAGCUUUACAAUAUUCUUCAGGCAAAUCAAAUGCUUGUGGAGCUGUUAGUCCUGGAGCCCCAACCUGGAAAAGAUGUUAUUAUGGAAAAAUGAGUCUUAACAGAGCGUGAAGGUGUACAAAGAGAGAAUAUCUGUUGUCUAUCUCCCUGACGCCACCACCCCAGGGCUGUUCUUGUCCUAGACCACCAGGAUUAGCCUGUGAGCCAGGACCUGUCUUGCAUAGCUGGUAGUGGGCUUGGGAGGUUGUUGCUUUAGGAGGCUGUGGAGGCAGAGAGUGUCUGCAGGGCCAAGGGGAUUAGACAAACUCAUAAACAAAUGGAGCAAGCAGAUAAAUGCACAUUUUGGAGACACUGCAGAGGUAGGAAGCUAACCCAGAGCAGGCUGGAUAAGCAGUGACAGGACAAGUUUCUCCUGCAGAGGCUCUGGUGGAACGGCUGCAUCGGCAGAGCCCCCAGUGUUUGAUCACCUGCCCCUCUCGAGUGAAGUGUCCUGUUGCCAGGGGCACAUCAUGGGAUCUGCUGGCCAUGCUGAGAGUUCAGCUCAGUUCCAGCUUUUCUGCACCCACGGACAAGUCACCCUUGCUAUGAAGAGGUCCUGACUUGUGACGUCUUUGCUCUGAAAAGAUUUGUUGCAAAGCAGACACCCAACAACCUUCUGACACAGAGGAGAAAUGUUGCUGCUCUCCCCCUCGCUCCACCAUGGAUCCCCAGAAUUCAAAUCAGGAGCAAACCCCAAAAGUGAGGCUGCAGUCUUUCCUAAUAAAGAGAAUGA